GCCUGGUUGGCUUCGUCGGUAGAGCUUGUGACUCUCGAUCUCAGGGUUGUGAGUUAAAGCCUCACACUGGGUG
rfam:Canis lupus familiaris chromosome 9, whole genome shotgun sequence.